UUACCUGUAGUUUAAAAAAUAUCAGCAUUGGAAGCUGGAGUUCAGGAUUAGUUUACAGGCUCUUGCGGGUAAA
rnacentral:tRNA from 1 species